rnacentral:rRNA from 1 species
UACGUAGGGUGCGAGCGUUGUCCGGAAUUACUGGGCGUAAAGAGCUCGUAGGUGGUUUGUCGCGUUGUCCGUGAAAACUCACAGCUCAACUGUGGGCGUGCGGGCGAUACGGGCAGACUGGAGUACUGCAGGGGAGACUGGAAUUCCUGGUGUAGCGGUGGAAUGCGCAGAUAUCAGGAGGAACACCGGUGGCGAAGGCGGGUCUCUGGGCAGUAACUGACGCUGAGGAACGAAAGCGUGGGGAGCGAACAGG